AGUUUGAGGCAGCUGCAUCUUGAUGUGUUGGAUGAGUAAGUGGGCAGUGAAGGAGAGAAGCCAAGUUCAGAAGGGGCUCUGCCUUUACUGCUCCCAGGAAGCCUGUGCCCAUGGAAAUUACACAAUAUGGUUGAUCUCCUUUGCAUAAACUCCAGCAUGGUCUUAAGGAACAGUGGAGAUCCAGGCGCUGAGGAAAAAGGAAGGGACUAAGAAAAGAAAUGGAAGGAACUUGUAAGCAAGAUUGCUUAUGUUGGAUUCUGAAUGAAGAGCAAGAUCCAGUUUUCACUGCUGCUGGAAAUUUUUAAACAGCAAGAAGAUAAAUCUGUGAGAAAAGUAAACAAAGCUAUAAGAUGGAGUAGACUCUCGUGUGUCCCCAGAGAUGAGUUUCCAUGCGAUUGUCUGUGUGCUAAAGCAACUGCCAGAGAGGCAAUUGGG